rnacentral:rRNA from 1 species
UACAGAGGUCCCAAGCGUUGUUCGGAUUCACUGGGCGUAAAGGGUGCGUAGGUGGUGAGGUAAGUCGGAUGUGAAAUCUCCAAGCUCAACUUGGAAACUGCAUUGGAAACUACCUUGCUAGAGGAUUUGAGGGGGGGAUUGGAAUACUUGGUGUAGCAGUGAAAUGCGUAGAUAUCAAGUGGAACACCAGUGGCGAAGGCGAAUCCCUGGAAAAUACCUGACACUGAGGCACGAAAGCUAGGGGAGCAAACGGG